UGAUACGCGAGAAACCUUACCUGGGCUCGAACGCUAGAUGAAUAUUGAGGAAACUUGAUAGGCCCGCAAGGGACAUUUAGUGAGGUGCUGCAUGGCUGUCGUCAGCUCGUGCCGUGAGGUGUUGGGUUAAGUCCCGCAACGGGCGCAACCCCUAUUUUCAGUUGCCAGCGAUUCGGUCGGGGACUCUGAAAAGACUGCCUCCGUAAGGAGUGAGGAAGGAAGGGACGACGUCAAGUCAUCAUGGCCUUUAUGCCCAGGGCUACACACGUACUACAAUGGCAUCCACAGAGGGCAGCGAGCGUGCGAACGUAAGCGAAUCUCAGAAAGGAUGCCCCAGUUCGGAUUGGAGUCUGCAACUCGACUCCAUGAAGUUGGAAUCGCUAGUAAUCGCGC
rnacentral:rRNA from 1 species